UUAGUUUACCCUCUCACACUAGAGAGCUUACCCAGAUGGGUGUUGGGGAAUUGGUUUACCCUCUUGCACUGGAGAGCAAUUAGUUUACCCUCUCGUAUUGGAGAGCUUACCAGAUAGGUGUCAGGGGAUUAGUUUUACCCUUUCGCACUAGAAAGUAUAUAAGUUGUUUUUAUGAGUACAGCUGAGGAAAGCUAGACUGCUGGACAAUUGAAAUAAUCCUCAGCCUGUGAGGUCUUGUUUGGCGAACUGUUUGAGACUUCGAACUGCUUGUGGAACCCAUGUAAAGGUGUAAGCCCAGUGAGCUGCUCCUAGAAUUAUUGCGCCAUCAUUAGGUGUUUCGUCGUGUGCCCUUUCCAGGCUUGGUUGGUGCGAGCCAUAGGGCAAUAUUGGCACGGCUGGGAGCCGUGGUGCAAGAUUGGCACAAUUAUGAGCCAUGGUGAUAAAUCAAUGGUUGUCAGAAGCCGUGACGCAGGUAG
rnacentral:lncRNA from 1 species